rnacentral:sRNA from 1 species
AUAAAUAUUUUAGAACCCUUUUAAAAUCAAUUGUAAAUCUUUUAAAACCCUUUUAAAAUCCCUUGUAAAUCUAUUUCCCGUCAAAAAAAAUUU